rnacentral:rRNA from 1 species
UAGGGAAUCUUCGGCAAUGGACGGAAGUCUGACCGAGCAACGCCGCGUGAGUGAAGAAGGUUUUCGGAUCGUAAAGCUCUGUUGUAAGAGAAGAACGAGUGUGAGAGUGGAAAGUUCACACUGUGACGGUAUCUUACCAGAAAGGGACGGCUAACUACGUGCCAGCAGCCGCGGUAAUACGUAGGUCCCGAGCGUUGUCCGGAUUUAUUGGGCGUAAAGCGAGCGCAGGCGGUUAGAUAAGUCUGAAGUUAAAGGCUGUGGCUUAACCAUAGUACGCUUUGGAAACUGUUUAACUUGAGUGCAAGAGGGGAGAGUGGAAUUCCAUGUGUAGCGGUGAAAUGCGUAGAUAUAUGGAGGAACACCGGUGGCGAAAGCGGCUCUCUGGCUUGUAACUGACGCUGAGGCUCGAAAGCAUGGGGAGCAAACAGGAUUAGAUACCCUGGUAGUCCACGCCGUAAACGAUGAGUGCUAGGUGUUAGACCCUUUCCGGGGUUUAGUGCCGUAGCUAACGCAUUAAGCACUCCGCCUGGGGAGUACGACCGCAAGGUUG